GCAGUUACCUGGCAGAGGCGAUACUGUGGUCAAGUGGGUAGUUUUCCUAGGGUGAGGCUCAUCCAUGGCACUCAGGGUGUGCUUACCCCUGCGAUUUCCCCACAUGGGGCAAACUUGACUGUAUAAUUUGUGGUGGGGACGGAGUGUGUUUGUGCUUUUACUCU